GGCUUGUUGGUCUAGUGGUAUGAUUCUCGCUUUGGGUGCGAGAGGUCACGGGUUCGAUUCCCGUGCAAGCCC
rnacentral:tRNA from 1 species